rnacentral:lncRNA from 1 species
AAAAACAAGAUCCUGAUCUCUAGUUCUUUGAGUCAGCUGAUUAGCUCUACAGUUAAGAGAUUAGUGAGAGAAAAAAAAACUUAUUCCAAAACCAUUAAGAAAGUUGGCCACUCAUGCAUGUGAAAGCUGGUGGUUUGCUUGAAAUUUGGAUAAAUUUAAUGGGUAUCUUCAAUAAGUUUUCCAUAGUAUAUGUAUACAUUGAUGCUUUCAUGCUCCAAUCCAUCCAGCAUUUCCUUUCCAAUCUGCAUCUUGAGAUUGAGUCGUAACACGGACUUGGUGUGUUGCUUCUCUUAAUUUCUUAAACUUCAGGCUAGGCUUGCGGAUUUUGAUUUCUUCACUUAGUUCAGGUCGGUUUGUUCGGAUUUCAAUUAUUUCGGGUGGUCGAAAUCUAACCGAAGUGAGCCGAGAAGAAAUUUUCUUCGGUUCAGCUUUGAUUAGUUCGGUUUUAAAAUUUUCAAACAAAGUUUUUGGUUUUUGGAAUAUAAUUCGAAAGUUUCAGUAAGUUUGGUUAUUUCGGUUGGAAUUUUAGUCUUUUUUAUAAUUGGUAUUGUUUGAUUUUUUUUUUUUAGAAAACCGAAUUAACCUACUGAAUCGAAAAUCGUAUUUUUAGUUGUUGGAUUAAACCAAACUUNNNNNNNNNNNNNGUUCGGUUAAUAACCGCAGGCCUACUUCUGGCUCUCACACGCGAGGCUUUAUAUUGCGAACAUAAUUAAGAAUAUCCAACCAUAUGAUUUUUAUUUUGCUUAUUAUGAAAGCGUAAGGGAGUAUUCUUAUU